UAGUACUAGUUUUUUUAAGAUGAUAAUUCUAUAGAUAACUAGUAUUUGCAAUUUUGGAAUGAAAGAGAAAUAUCUUACUCCACCAUCUAAGUUGAAUUUCAUUUUUCUGUUGUAUGAUUAAAUGUGCCGAGAAUCCUUUUAUGUUAAACCACUACGGAUAGCUAAUAACAAUAGAUUAGUCCCCAGAUCGAACUGAAAUUCACACUAUUAAGGCUGUCGUCAAACCAGCGACGCCUCGCCGGAGGAACUCCUCACCCAUCAGCUCCGGCAAGACCUUCGAUCCUAAGCACCACUUAGCUCAAACGAUUAUCUCGAUCAAUAGAACCCUAGGACUUCUGCGCUACAUGAGCUGGACAAUAUAAGGAAACUGGUGACCAAGGCAAGGUUCAGGUGUCAAUGGACUGAUGGAGCUCCUAGAGUAAGUUUAGAAAAAAAGGCUAUGUCUUGAAUGGAUUCAUUGUGAACUUUAAUGAUUGCCACUAAUGUAUUUAAGCCCAUUUCUUUUGACUACUGAGGUUGCACUAAUGCCAUACAAACUUGGUGCUUAUGUUUGAUUUAUCAAACUGUUAUCACAUCAAUUCAGAAUUAGUUCCAGAAAGGGAACACCUAGUUCGAUCAAAGUUUAUGAAUGCAGGUGAAUAUACAUUUCCAGUAGUAGUCACCAGCUGAUGCAAAAAGCUUACCAUCAGAGCUUUCAAGUUUAUCUGCCAAUAACCAAAGUGACUUUGGUCCAUAUUUUUGUUUAUGAAUCCAUUAGCACAACUGCCUCGCCUUUCCUUUUGGUUGGUUGGUUAACGUUACGUCUGUGACUUUGGAGCAUAUAAUGGAUUUCAGAUUGUUGCCUUUCCACUUUCCAGUAUAAGUGAAUCUAAGGUUUUAGAUUAUUAGCCCCUUUAAUUCUAAACUUUUCUUAUAGACUUGGACUGAUGAUGAAAAGUAGAACUGGAUGUUUUUGAAAUUUUUUAAAGUAACAAUGAUAGAAGUUGUUUUCUACUACUGCAUUUCUUACUUUCUUCUGAAUAACAAGGAUAAAGUUGACAUUUCAUUAUUUCUGUUUUAUAAUAUUUCAGCAUUUCUCUCCUCUGCAUCUUAAACUUUCUUAGGUUCCAAUAUAUUCCGCAUUAAAUGGAGAAGGUUUUUCCAUCUUGCUGUCUUAUAUCUGAACUAAUUAGUUCCAUCACUUUUGCUCUCUUUUUUUAAUCGGAGUUUACAAAUGGACCUGACUGAGGAACUGGAUUAGGUAUUUCCUGAUGAGGAUGAAGCUUACGGGAGAUACUUCUGCAUCUGCAGCAGUGAGUUAUUUAGUCAUAUUUCUUCUCAUGUCUCCUCAUUAUUUGUUAAGUAGUUCAAUGUUCUAAGAAUAUCUCUUUCUUUUAUUAGUACUAUAUUAAAUAAUACGUACUAGCUUUUAGAAUUUCUGAAUGUUGAAGAUCUUGAAAUAUCUGCGUUGAAACUUUUGAAAAAGUUAGGCAGAACUAUGAUGCAUAGAUAGAACAACUAUUUAAAUGAUGUUUUAGUAAGAAUGCUAUUGGCAGCUCAAAACUGAUGGCAUUUUGAUAUUCAAGAUUGCCAAGUAAAAUGCCAAAGCUUCUACACAUAAAUAUAAAAGUCUUCUAUGCUUUCAUUUCUAUUGAAACAAGUUCGAAUCCUUUGGAUACCUUAUUUCUAUAAAAGUCUUCUAUGUUGAGUGCUAUAUAUGAACAGUAAUCUUUUUAUGAUAAGAAAAUGAUAAUUUUUUGUCAAAAGUUGGUAAGCUUCAGGCUAGAUCCAAUCCGUUGUAAGAUACCGAACACAAGGUGGAUAAAAUUUAUGAAACAAUUUAGAGUUUCUGGAUUCUUUCAAAUUUUGGAAAGCUUUCAGUCAUUUAUGUUUUGUAAGUUCUGUAUAAUACAGAAACCAAAACUUGUAACUAGACGGGACCGUUGUUGCUUCCUAGUACUCGUGCAAGCUCAUUUUAUUUUCCCCAAACCUCGACAAAAAUAUGUAGUUUUAGUACUUUAGAAAAUCUUUUCAAUAAACAAAUUGCACCCUGUUAUAUAAAUUUUAGAUGUUUAGUGUUUCAUGUUUGAGUUCUCACCUCGCUCUGUUCGAUAUCCUACAAGGUAAAUGGUUUGAUAAGGUUUUCAGUCCAUUUUCUGUUUUUUUUUUAUUUAUUGCUACAAUAUUGGGUAUAAAAACCAUGUGAUGAAGUACAUGGACAAUACUUUGAGCGAAUAUGAAUCUAAAACCAAUAAACUCUAUGAGGAUUAGAUAGCAUAUAGUAAUACUUUUGCAGGAUUUUUCACUCCACAGAUAAAUGACUAUGCAGUAUGUCACACAAUUUUAUUUUGGGGACUAAACAUGUUAAGUUAAAGGUAUAGCCCCAUUUUACCAUAUUGCGACCUUAUAAACGAACUAGCUCGACAGCCUCCAAAUCUAGUAUAAAGUUUAAUAUCCAUUAUUUUCUUCCGAGCAAAAUGAAGUAAUGAGCUAGCUUCAUCACCAACUUUUAGACAUGCCUGGAUCCCUGACUCCAUAUUUCCCUAAGUAGAAUUUAAGUCAAAUUAAUGAUCUCUGCAUGGGGUUGGGGGACUGUAGGUGAUGUGGUGCAAAGACAUUCACAAUAAUUUUACCGAGCAUAUCAUUGAGGUUCCUUAUGUUUACCUCUUCCGACUAAAGAGCUAUGGUCGUCUUGGCAGCACUUCCGUGUUCCCAGAACCUCUCUUUACCAUGUACAGCAAAAGGUUGUUUGCAAACUAUUUGCGAUAAAAAUGUGUGCGCUAUAUAAUUUUGUAUAUGACUUGUUACCAGAACCUCUCUUUACCAAGCUUAAGUAAUUCAUGCUGGUUGCCACUAUACAGAGUUCUGAGUGGACUUGUGAAAUCUAUAGUAUACCAAAGACGUAAGUAUACUUAUUUCGAUGAAGGACUUGCCUUUGCCAUUUUCUGGAGGAAUGAUCUCUUAUCAUUGUAUUAGGUUGAUUCUCUAGUUUGUUAGACCAGAUUCACCAUCCCUGGUGGCUUACUUAUAUAGAGGAGGUCAUGAGAGAUGGUUAAUUCUAUCUAACAUUAAAAACAUCUUUAUCAUGACCCAAACGAAGGCAUACUAUGUAAUAUAUGUUGUAAUAACUAUAUUCAGACGUGCAUCUAUUGUAGUGAAUGAUGUAGAUUAGUGAAAUGAAUCAAAUGUUUUAAUGCACACAAUCGUUUUGCUGCCUUUGUUUCACUAGAUUUUGUUUCUCUGUGUAAUUAAGCCCCAUUUAUGGUUGUCCUAUAUUUUCCAAUGUUAUAUAGCAGCUUGUAUUUCUACCUGCUGCAUAUGUUUACUUUUUCCCUUGGACUUACUGCUUUUUUUACUUAAGGAACAGAAUGUCAUGCUUUAAAAGCAACACGUGGCUAAGUCUGGAUUCUGCCUUAUGAUCACGAACAUCCAUCCCAAGAAUUUGAGAUGGCUUUCACAGGUGAUGUUAAGGAACUUUCAGCAAUCUGAGCUAUAUUCAGAACACCUGCCUCCUCCUCCAGGGUAAAUGAUGAUCACAUCACCACUAAAAGUUCUCUUACUUAGUCUUGCAAAAAUAAGUAUUUCACUACCUAUAUAGAAUGGGAAGUACCUAUGGCAAAUGGUUGCGUUUCCAAGCCUAAAGUCUCCUAACCUUGGGGUGAUGAAUUGCACUGAUGUGGUAUAUAGCCGUAUAGCACUGAAAAGAUCGCAGUAAAUUAAUCAUUCUUAUUGAUUAUUAAAGGAUGAGAUCUUAGAAAAUUAUUUCUUAAUCGUUAUGUAUAACCUUGAUCAUACAUCAUUAACUUUUUAUUACUUUGACUUGUCAAUAUGUGAUAUUUUUCAUCGCUCUUUUAGCUACAAGGUGGUUUUGAUAAACUUAAAAAGUGUACUCCAUCCGUCUCAAGGUAGUUGAGUUCUUUUUGGGUUGUUCCGAAGUAGUUUAUCUCUCUUACUUUACUCUAUCUAUUUUAACCUUUAUCAUAUCAAUUUCUUAAAUCUCGUGCUCAAAAGAAAUGCUUCAACAAUUUUGGGACGGAUGAAGUAUGUGAUUGUUGUUUGGACUUUCUAGUAUAAUCAAUUCGUUCCCACUUCUCAAAAUACUAGUAGUUAGUAUGCGGUAGGUAAAGUUGAUUCAAUUAGAAACUUUGUAACUUCCCAAAUUACCUAUAAUUUGAGUGUUUGAUUUAGCCACCACACCGUGACUCUUGGUGUUUAUAGAAAAACUAUUUGAUUUAAAACUUUAAUGAAAGAUGUGAGUGAAAAAACAUAAUAAUUGGUCUACUCUAGUGCCUCUUUAACACUUGUAUUUUUCGUCCAAUUCAUUCCAUCUCCCAUUCUUAGCCUAAUUAGCCAUUUCGGCUACUGAACUCGACAAAAUGGUCAAGUGAUAGAGAGUUUUUAAAAAAAUGUAAAACUAGUCCUAAAACCAAUUAAACGAUCCUAAGUCCAACUUCUAAAAAUUAAAAUCAUAGUACAAAAUACAAGUUUAUCAAAAAAUAGUUUUUGUUACUUACUCUUAUUCAGAUGACUGCUUUCAUAGAUAUUUCAAAUGUUAUUGGUUAGUGGUUACUUGGUGAUCAUCUCCUCGACAUUAGUGUUUGAGAAGCAAGGUAAAGCGAUUGUGUUGCUUUUGGGAAAGAAAUAAUUAUAUAGUCGUAUGAUUAGUCAAUUUCUUUUUCACAAACGAGACACACUAAUUCAACAUCUUUUUUACUCUUGAGUUUUAGAAUAUUGAAUUCGAUCAAUUGAUAAAUCGACCAGACUUAGCUUAGUUCUGUAGCAUUGAUCCAGUUUGUAUCUUGAGGUUUCAAAUGACAACACCACUUUUAAUUCCUUGUAAUCUAUAUCUACAAUUUUAUGGACUAGUGGGAGUUCGAAUUGUGUCAGUAAUAUUGGAUUUUGAGUUUUAUUAGGUUAUUUUUCGAUAUGAGUUUAAAAUUUUUUGGCUCUCGCUGUUGAAUUGUUAUACAAUACUCCCCCGUUCACGAAAAAU